AGGAUUAACGCUGGCGGCGUGCAUGAAACAUGCAAGUCGAGCGCGGUGUGAUGCGGGGUAACCCAAUUCACAUCUAGCGGCGAACGGGUGAGUAACACGUGAGCAACCUACCUUUGAGUUGGGGAUAGCCCUGGGAAACCAGGAUUAAUACCCGAUGUGGUCACAACAGGACAUCCUGAUGUGAGUAAAGGCGCAAGCCGCUCAAUGACGGGCUCGCGGCCUAUUAGCUUGUUGGUGGGGUAACGGCCUACCAAGGCGAUGAUGGGUAGCUGGUCUGAGAGGACGAUCAGCCACACUGGGACUGAGACACGGCCCAGACUCCUACGGGAGGCAGCAGUUAGGAAUUUCCGCAAUGGGCGAAAGCCUGACGGAGCAACGCCGCGUGAGUGAUGAAGACCUUAGGGUUGUAAAGCUCUGUCGGAGGGAAGAACACAAUGACGGUACCCUCCAAGAAACGCCCGGCUAACUACGUGCCAGCAGCCGCGGUAAU
rnacentral:rRNA from 1 species